rnacentral:rRNA from 1 species
GACGAACGCUGGCGGCGUGCUUAACACAUGCAAGUCGAACGGAAAGGCCCUGCUUGCAGGGUACUCGAGUGGCGAACGGGUGAGUAACACGUGGGUGAUCUGCCCUGCACUUCGGGAUAAGCCUGGGAAACUGGGUCUAAUACCGGAUAGGAGCCAUUUUUAGUGUGAUGGUUGGAAAGUUUUUUCGGUGUAGGAUGAGCUCGCGGCCUAUCAGCUUGUUGGUGGGGUAAUGGCCUACCAAGGCGGCGACGGGUAGCCGGCCUGAGAGGGUGGACGGCCACAAUGGGACUGAGAUACGGCCCAGACUCCGACGGGAGGCAGCAGGGGGGAAUAUUGCACAAUGGGCGCAAGCCUGAUGCAGCGACGCCGCGUGGGGGAUGACGGCCUUCGGGUUGUAAACUCCUUUCGCUAGGGACGAAGCUUUUUGUGACGGUACCUAGAUAAGAAGCACCGGCUAACUACGUG